UUACGGCCAUAUCACGUUGCAACACUAGUUCUCAUCAGAUCACCGAAAUUAAGCAACAUCGAGCCUGACCAGUACCUAAAUGGGUGUGACCACUAGGUAAUAUCAGGU